rnacentral:rRNA from 1 species
AGAGUUUGAUCAUGGCUCAGAACGAACGUUGGCGGCGUGGAUUAGGCAUGCAAGUCGAACGAAUCCCCGUGGGGGUAACUCUGCGGGGGGAAGUGGCGAAAGGGGCAGUAAGGCAUGGGUAACCUACCCCGGGGACGGGCAUAGCCGUUCUAACGGACGGAUAAUUCCCGGCGAUUUGGCGGCGGGGCAUCUCGCUGCCAGGAAAUGAAUUUCGCCUCGGGAGGGGCUCAUGUGGUAUUAGCUAGUUGGUAGGGUAACGGCCUACCAAGGCGAAGAUGCCUAGCGGGUGUGAGAGCACGACCCGCGCCACUGGCACUGAGACACUGGCCAGACUCCUACGGGAGGCUGCAGUCGAGGAUCUUCGGCAAUGGGCGCAAGCCUGACCGAGCGACGCCGCGUGCGCGAUGAAGGCCUUCGGGUUGUAAAGCGCGAAGGGCGGGAGGAAAUUUGACCGACCGCCAGUAAGCACGGGCUAAGUUCGUGCCAGCCGCCGCGGUAAUAC